UACGUAGGGGGCUAGCGUUGUCCGGAAUCAUUGGGCGUAAAGCGCGUGUAGGCGGUCCGGUAAGUCCGCUGUGAAAGUCGGGGGCUCAACCCUCGGAUGCCGGUGGAUACUGUCGGGCUUGAGUACGGAAGAGGCGAGUGGAAUUCCUGGUGUAGCGGUGAAAUGCGCAGAUAUCAGGAGGAACACCAAUAGCGAAGGCAGCUCGCUGGGACGUUACUGACGCUCAUGCACGAAAGCGUGGGGAGCAAACAGG
rnacentral:rRNA from 1 species